rnacentral:rRNA from 1 species
CCUACGGGAGGCAGCAGUGGGGAAUAUUGCACAAUGGGGGAAACCCUGAUGCAGCGACGCCGCGUGAGUGAAGAAGUAUUUCGGUAUGUAAAGCUCUAUCAGCAGGGAAGAAAAUGACGGUACCUGAGUAAGAAGCCCCGGCUAACUACGUGCCAGCAGCCGCGGUAAUACGUAGGGGGCAAGCGUUAUCCGGAUUUACUGGGUGUAAAGGGAGCGUAGACGGCAGCACAAGUCUGGAGUGAAAUGCCGGGGCUUAACCCCGGAACUGCUUUGGAAACUGUGCAGCUAGAGUGCAGGAGAGGUAAGUGGAAUUCCUAGUGUAGCGGUGAAAUGCGUAGAUAUUAGGAGGAACACCAGUUGCGAAGGCGGCUUACUGGACUGUAACUGACGUUGAGGCUCGAAAGCGUGGGGAGCAAACAGGAUUAGAUACCCCUGUAGUC